rnacentral:rRNA from 1 species
UACGUAGGGGGCAAGCGUUGUCCGGAAUCAUUGGGCGUAAAGAGCGUGUAGGCGGUCUGGUAGGUCCGUUGUGAAAACUCGAGGCUCAACCUCGAGACGCCGAUGGAAACCAUCAGACUAGAGUCCGGAAGAGGAGAGUGGAAUCCCUGGUGUAGCGGUGAAAUGCGCAGAUAUCAGGAAGAACACCCGUGGCUAAGGCGGUUGCCUGGGGCUUUGCUGACGCUGAUGCGCGAAAGCGUGGGGAGCGAUCCGG